GACGAACGCUGGCGGCGUGCUUAACACAUGCAAGUCGAACGGUGAACUCCGCUUGCGGGGGGUCCGUUGCGGAAGGGGGGAGUAAAACUUGGCCAACUUCCCCUCGGCCCUGGGUAAACCCCAGGAAAUUGGGCUAAAUACCGGAAACGCCCCUUACCCCAAGGGUCUGUGGGGGGAAAGUUUAUCGGCUUGGGAUUGGCCCGGGGCCUAUCAGCUUGUUGGUGGGGUAGUGGCCUACCAAGGCGACGACGGGUAGCCGGCCUGAGAGGGUGACCGGCCACACUGGGACUGAGACACGGCCCAGACUCCUACGGGAGGCAGCAGUGGGGAAUAUUGCGCAAUGGGCGAAAGCCUGACGCAGCGACGCCGCGUGGGGGAUGACGGCCUUCGGGUUGUAAACCUCUUUCAGCAGGGACGAAGCGAAAGUGACGGUACCUGCAGAAGAAGCACCGGCCAACUACGUG
rnacentral:rRNA from 1 species